AUAUGAAUUUACAAUGGGGGUUUGAUUUUUGUCUUAAAAUUUAGUUUAAAUUUAAUAUUAAAUGUAUUUAUAUUAUUAUUAAUUUAUUCUUAAGGAUAAAUUUAUUUUUUUUUGCAAUAAGAAAUAUUAAAAAUUGAUGAGGAUUUGAUUUAGUUAUUUUUAUUAAAUAUUGAUUAAAUAUGUGCCAGCAAUCGCGGUUAGACAUAGAAUAUAAUUAAAUUUUGUUAGUUUAAAAGUUGUUUAAAAUAUAUUUUUGAUUUUUAUAAUUAUUUUUAGGUAGAAUUUAAAUUUUUUUUAAGGGUUAUUAUAAUAUAAUAUGAAGGAAGCUAUGAAAUUCAUUAUAUUAAACUAGGAUUAGAUACCCUAUUAUUAUGAUUUUAAAGUUAAUUAUACUUAGGUAUUAGUAGUUAAGAUCUUGAAACUUAAAGAAUUUGGCGGUAUUUUAGUCUAUUUAGAGGAAUUUGUCCCGUUAUCGAUAGUCCACGUUGAACCUAACUUUAAUUUAAUAACAUGUAUAUCGCCGUUUAGAGGAUCUUUUUAGAGUAUUUUCUUUAAAUUAAUUAAAUUUUAUUUCAGGUCAAGGUGCAGUUUAUAUUAGAGUGGAGAUGAAUUACAAUAUAUUAAUAUAUUAUGAAUUAUAAAAUGAAAUUUGAUUUAUAUGAAGGUGGAUUUAAUAGUAAUGUUAUAAAGAUUAUUAAUGUGAUUAAUACCUAGCUCUAAAAUAUGUACAUAUUGCCCGUCACUCUCGUUUAUAAAAUGAGAUAAGUCGUAACAAAGUAGGUGUACCGGAAGGUGUAGCUAGAAUGAGAUAUAU
rnacentral:rRNA from 1 species